rnacentral:rRNA from 1 species
CACGGGGGGAGCAAGCGUUGUUCGGAAUCAUUGGGCGUAAAGAGCGUGUAGGCGGCCAGGUAGGUCGGUUGUGAAAACUGGAGGCUCAACCUUCAGAGGUCGACCGAAACCAUCUGGCUAGAGUCCGGGAGAGGAGAGUGGAAUUCCUGGUGUAGCGGUGAAAUGCGCAGAUAUCAGGAAGAACACCCGUGGCGAAAGCGGCUCUCUGGAACGGUACUGACGCUGAGACGCGAAAGCGUGGGGAGCGAACAGG